AGCGAACGCUGGCGGCAGGCCUAACACAUGCAAGUCGAACGGAUCCUUCGGGAUUAGUGGCGGACGGGUGAGUAACACGUGGGAACGUGCCCUUUGGUUCGGAACAACUCAGGGAAACUUGAGCUAAUACCGGAUGUGCCCUUCGGGGGAAAGAUUUAUCGCCAUUGGAGCGGCCCGCGUCUGAUUAGCUAGUUGGUGAGGUAAAGGCUCACCAAGGCGACGAUCAGUAGCUGGUCUGAGAGGAUGAUCAGCCACAUUGGGACUGAGACACGGCCCAAACUCCUACGGGAGGCAGCAGUGGGGAAUCUUGCGCAAUGGGCGAAAGCUUGGCGCAGCCAUGCCGCGUGAAUGAUGAAGGUCUUAGGAUUGUAAAAUUCUUUCACCGGGGACGAUAAUGACGGUACCCGGAGAAGAAGCCCCGGCUAACUUCGUGCCAGCAGCCGCCGUAA
rnacentral:rRNA from 1 species